GUCUCGCACAAAAUUAAAUAGCCAUGGCAUCCAACAAGAAAGUAGUAGUGCUCGGUGUCUUCACCCUGGCCUUGCUCCUACUGGCCCACUGCGCGGAGGCGCACUUGUGCACGACAAGGAACGUGUAUUACCAUGGCCCGUGCAUGAGCAACAAGAAUUGCGCCGACUCGUGCAUUCAUGACGACGUGGGCAGCGGUGGGUAUUGCUCCUCUACCUGGAAGCGUGGCCCCUUUGGAAGAAUAUGCAAAUGUACCUUUGAAUGUUGGGAAGAAAACAAAGCCAGCACCAGCAAGGGACUGGACACGCCUAGGGCAGAAGUAUCCAAUUGAGUAUUGCAUAUAUGUGAUCCAUGCAUCGAUGGAAUAAGAAGAGAAGCAUAUAUGUAGUCAUGUUGUUGUAAGCAACAAAUUGCAUAUGUACCAAAGAUAAUUUGCAUGGGGAUGAUGAAUAAAAUAAACUUGCAGUGUUAUAUUUAA